AUGUGAAAACAUGAAAGACGAAAAAAAGAUAAAGAUUCCUGAGAACAUUUGUGGUAUCUACCCAUAGUUUUAUUCUUAUGACUUAAAUUUUACUUAAAAAAUUUCCAAGAAAUUGCAAAAUUAUUAUUGAAGUUGAGUAUGCGCCUGCGCCACUGUUUCAUGGUAUUAAAUUUGUAUGGAAUGUUAAUGAUUCAAGGUUUUCUUUUAAAUUCCGGAUGUGAAUGCAUUUAAGGAUGGUAUUAAAGGAAAUGCCACAACAUUGUUGCCAAUAAAUUCAUUUUAAUGUGAAAUAAAAACUUGUGAGAAAAAUUAAAAAAAAA